rnacentral:lncRNA from 1 species
ACACUUACUCCAAUUAACUAAUUCCUCAAAUGAUUAAAAAUCAUGCAGCGGAAAAUACAAAAAUAAUAUAAGUUUCAAAGUCCAAAUUGAAAAUACUGAAUCAAGUGACAUAAUUCAAUUGUUAUAAAAAUUUAACAACAUAAUUAAAUAAAAGUUUCUCCCAACAACAUCCUAACAGAGCGACUCCAAAUAAAUAGCAAAGCAACAACGAUCCGAACACACCAUCUAUGAUUCGUAUCCUACCUGAAAAUCUACGGUUGCACACCGUAGGGCCAAGCCAGAAGGGAGAAUGUAAAGGUGAGUCAAAAUACAUCAAGAAAGUAACUUAAUUAAAACAACGCAAUAACUAACAACAUCAUAAACAACAACAACAAGACCACCUAAGCGGAUGACCACGCACAUUCAUCAGUCAACCACAAUCAUCAAUCGUUAAUUAACUAAAGAGAAAUAACAACAUUUAAAUAAAUAAAUAUAAUUAAAAUGCAUGCAAUGCGCCUAGACUCGCUACAUACAUGUGGUACCAAUAGCAACGUCAUUUCUAGUUUUACAUCAUAGAGGAUCAACAUCAUUAUAAGCAACGUCAUUUUCAACUUCAUUAGGCAACGCCAUUUUCAACAUCAUUUAUACAAUUUCAAUAAGCAACGUCAUUAGACAUAUGAAUGAAUGCAUGUCAUGUUAUAGUAAGCAACGUCAAUAGGCAACAUCAUUUAACAACUUCGAUAGACAACUUCAUCAUCAUUAUAACAACAUCAAUAAACAAUGUCUAUAAGCAACUACAACAAUAACAAUUACAACAUCAUAAUUUUGGCAGAACUUCAACAUCAUUAAAAUAGAUAAUUCAACAUCGUUAUAAUCACGUAACUCAACAUUAUUAUUCAACGAAACGGCAAUUCAAACAACACAAUUACUAUCAACGAGCAACGACUUAAAACAACACCAAUACACAACAAUUAUUAGCAACUUCGAUUACAACACCAACUAAAACUUCAUAACUCAAUUAAUCAUUCACUCCUCUCCAAAACAACAACCUAUUACUCCUUUUUAACAGUACUCAAAAUCCCAAAAACCUCAUUAUUUGAAUUUCUCAAGAACAACACCAAUCCAUGAUUUUAUUUUACUCAACAUCGGAACACGAAUUGCAGCAACAACAAAAGCAUAAAAAUAUUAUCAUAACAAAUUAUGAAAUCGAAAUUAAAAAUAAUUAUUGAAACAACAACAUCACAUAAUGGUAGGAGGAAGUAUAAGAACAACAACUUAAGCACAUAUAUAAUCAAUACAAAGUAUGCCUAUUGAAUUCAGAGUUUUCAAGAGUAUAAAGCUCCCUUACUUGGAUUGUAGUGAACUCCGUAAAUUGAGGUUAAGUUUUUCCUUCCUUUGCUUCUCUUCACUCUCCCAUGAGCUCUCUCUCUUUUCUCUCACCCACUAGCACUAUUUUUUGUGUGUUUGUUUUCUUGUUUGUAUCACUAUCCUAACUCUUCUUAACAUUACCCACUUUAAACCACUUAAUUCUAAGAAACAAAC